rnacentral:rRNA from 1 species
UACGUAGGGUGCAAGCGUUGUCCGGAAUUAUUGGGCGUAAAGAGCUCGUAGGCGGCCUGUCGCGUCGGCUGUGAAAACUCGGGGCUCAACCCCGAGCUUGCAGUCGAUACGGGCAGGCUAGAGUUCGGCAGGGGAGACUGGAAUUCCUGGUGUAGCGGUGAAAUGCGCAGAUAUCAGGAGGAACACCGGUGGCGAAGGCGGGUCUCUGGGCAGUAACUGACGCUGAGGAGCGAAAGCGUGGGGAGCGAACAGG